AGAGUUUGAUCCUGGCUCAGAACGAACGCUGGCGGCGUGGAUAAGACAUGCAAGUCGAGCGCUAAUUACAGGGUAGCAAUAUUCUGUAGUUGGAGCGGCGCAAGGGUGCGUAACACGUGGGUAAUCUGCCAUGAAGUUUGGAAUAACUCGCUGAAAGGCGAGCUAAUGCCGAAUGUGACGAUUGGAAGGCAUCUUCUGAUCUUUAAAGUUGGGGAUCGUAAGACCUGACGCUUCAUGAUGAGCCCGCGGCCUAUCAGCUAGUUGGUGAGGUAACGGCUCACCAAGGCUAAGACGGGUAGCUGGUCUGAGAGGACGACCAGCCACACUGGAACUGAGACACGGUCCAGACACCUACGGGUGGCAGCAGUCGAGAAUUUUUCACAAUGGGGGAAACCCUGAUGGAGCGACGCCGCGUGGGGGAUGAAUGGCUUCGGCCCGUAAACCCCUGUCAUUCGAGAACAAAUUGGUUCAAUUAACACCUGAACCAUUGAUAGUACCGGAAGAGGAAGGGACGGCUAACUCUGUGCCAGCAGCCGCGGUAAUACAGAGGUCCCAAGCGUUGUUCGGAUUCACUGGGCGUAAAGGGUGCGUAGGCGGUCGGGUAAGUCUGAUGUGAAAUCUCACAGCUUAACUGUGAAACUGCAUUGGAUACUAUUCGGCUUGAGAGUUGGAGGGGGGACUGGAAUUCUUGGUGUAGCAGUGAAAUGCGUAGAUAUCAAGAGGAACACCAGUGGCGAAGGCGAGUCCCUGGACAACUUCUGACGCUGAGGCACGAAAGCUAGGGGAGCAAACAGGAUUAGAUACCCUGGUAGUCCUAGCCGUAAACGGUGCUUAUUUGCUGUAAAAGGAAUCGACCCCUUUUGUGGCGUAGCAAACGCGUUAAAUAAGCCGCCUGGGAAGUACGGUCGCAAGAUUAAAACUCAAAGAAAUUGACGGGGCCUGCACAAGCGGUGGAGUAUGGUGGCUUAAUUUCGAUGCAACGCG
rnacentral:rRNA from 1 species